rnacentral:rRNA from 1 species
UACGGGGGGGGCAAGCGUUGUUCGGAAUUACUGGGCGUAAAGGGCUCGUAGGCGGCCAACUAAGUCGGAUGUGAAAUCCCCAGGCUUAACCUGGGAACUGCAUCCGAUACUGGAUGGCUUGAAUCCGGGAGAGGGAUGCGGAAUUCCAGGUGUAGCGGUGAAAUGCGUAGAUAUCUGGAGGAACACCGGUGGCGAAGGCGGCAUCCUGGACCGGCAUUGACGCUGAGGCACGAAAGCUAGGGUAGCGAACGGG